rnacentral:rRNA from 1 species
CAAGUCGCGGGGCAGCGCGGGUAGCAAUACCUGGCCGGCGACCGGCGGAAGGGUGCGUAACGCGUGAGCAACAUGCCCGUCUCAGGGGGAUAACCGAUGGAAACCGUCGCCUAAUACCCGUAACAACAGACCCCGCAUGAGGUUUGUUUGAAAGCUCCGGCGGAGACGGAUUGGCUCGCGUGACAUUAGCUUGUUGGCGGGGUAACGGCCCACCAAGGCGACGAUGUCUAGGGGUUCUGAGAGGAAGGUCCCCCACACUGGAACUGAGACACGGUCCAGACUCCUACGGGAGGCAGCAGUGAGGAAUAUUGGUCAAUGGGCGAAAGCCUGAACCAGCCAUGCCGCGUGCAGGAAUGAGGCCCUAUGGGGUUCCGUAAACUGCUUUUGCUGCGGAGCAAUAAGGUGCACGUGUGCACCGAUGAGAGUACGCGGCGAAUAAGCAUCGGCUAACUCCGUGCCAGCAGCAGC